rnacentral:rRNA from 1 species
GAUGAACGCUAGCUACAGGCUUAACACAUGCAAGUCGCGGGGCAGCAUGGGGGUUGCUUGCAAUCCCCGAUGGCGACCGGCGCACGGGUGAGUAACGCGUAUCCAACCUGCCCUUCACCACGGGAUAACCCGGCGAAAGUCGGACUAAUACCGUAUGUUGUCCAUUGACGGCAUCCGAUUUGGACGAAAGGUUUGGCGGUGAAGGAUGGGGAUGCGUCCGACUAGCUGGACGGCGGGGUGACGGCCCACCGUGGCGACGAUCGGUAGGGGUUCUGAGAGGAAGGUCCCCCACACUGGAACUGAGACACGGUCCAGACUCCUACGGGAGGCAGCAGUGAGGAAUAUUGGUCAAUGGGCGUAAGCCUGAACCAGCCAAGUAGCGUGCAGGAUGACGGCCCUAUGGGUUGUAAACUGCUUUUAUGCGGGGAUAAAGUGGCCCACGUGUGGGUUUUUGCAGGUACCGCAUGAAUAAGGACCGGCUAAUUCCGUG